ensembl:lncRNA
GGCAGUCAGGAUCUUUGUUGUCACACAUGGGCUGAGCCGCACGUGGGAUCUUAGUUUCCUGACCAGGGGUCGAAACCGCAUCCCCUGCAUUUUAAGGUGGAUUCCUAACCACUGGACCAUCAGCCGCCCCGCUGGUGACAGUUUGCCGGAGCAGCCUUGAGACAUGGACGCCACGUCCAGAGGAACAGUGGAGCCAAAAGACAGCUCGCUGAGCGCCUGGCUAAGUUCACGGGGAGAAUUUACAGAGACGCUGCACAGAUGGAGGGGUUUUUCUACUUCCAGGGAAACAGAGACGGUGACGUCACUGGGCUGAUGCGAAGAGUAACUGAGAGAGGACAUGUGCAGGCGUCUGGCACAAGGACCCUCAGUGAGGCAUGUGGGAUCUUCGCUUCC